AUUUAUUUUGAUUUACAGACAAAAAAGGCACUAAUGAAUAUUGCCAGAGCCUCAAAAUGCAUUAUAACUUUUUUUCCAGCAAUUCUAGUUUUUGGACCAGAUACUUAUUAUGAAAUAUCACCUUUCUUUCUUUCAGGGUAUGGACUGGGACCAUCUAUUAAACCGAAGAAUAAGGCCUCCAUUUGAACUGGACAACCAAGACCACCUGGAGAGCCAAGAGAACCCUGAAUGCCAAGCUCCAGCACUGACACCGCCUGCUGUAAGGAUUCCAUCAGAGCUGCAAGAGGCAUUCAGAGGAUUCUAAAUGAACAUCAAAUAAGUAGACGGAAUAGAUGGGGAGGGUGGAGGGCCAGUCCAUAUCUAUAGAAGAAGUCCAUUCAUGAAGAUCAGAGAUCUAGAAUAUCAAAGAUCCAGAAUACCUAGAAAGAUCCAGAACAUCGCCUCGGUUAGGGUGAGGCUGGUGCCGAAAUGGUGAAAGAGCACCUCUUCUUCAGAGGUAUGGACUGGGACCAUCUAUUAAACCGAAGAAUAAGGCCUCCAUUUGAACUGGACAACCAAGACCACCUGGAGAGCCGCAAGAACCCUGAAUGCCAAGCUCCAGCACUGACACCGCCUGCUGUAAGGAUUCCAUCAGAGCUGCAAGAGGCAUUCAGAGGAUUCUCAAUGAACAUCAAAUAAGUAGACGGAAUGGAUGGGGAGGGUGGAGGGCCAGUCCAUACCCAUAAAAGAAGUCUAUUUAUAUAAAGUGAUGAUCAGGUGACCCACCUUAAUAAGUUCUGACUGAGUAGGCUAAUGUAGGAAUAGUCUGCUCAUGGUUUGUAACGUAUUCCAAAACUUCACCUGUAUAACAGGCAAGUAAGAUCUAGUAGGUGAGAAACAAACUGUAUUUUUAUAGCAACAGCUGACACUGUAACAUCCUGCCUGGUUUUAAACCAGCACCCUGCAGGUUAUUAUGCAGUCUGUUAUAACUCUGCUCUAUUUGAGCAGAUAACUAAGUGCUUGGUUCAGUUUGCCCCACAAUGCAUUCUGUAAUUACUGACUUCUUCUCUACAAUCGACAUUUGGCACCCUUGCCUGCCCCAUGGGAGUCUCUGGAUUCUUAUAUGGUAAGACCUGUUAGCACCCGAGCAGCUGAGAUUUAGGCCCAAAGCCAAAGGUGGCUGAUAUAGAAGAGCAGGCCAAGACUCCCUGUGGUUUAGGAUUCCCUUAAGUGACAAACAGGAAAGUAAAACCUGGCACCAAGUUAGCAAACAAACCAAUAGUUGGCACUACCUCACAUUGUUUGUAUUUGCUUUCUGGUAAAGUUGCAGUUGCCACCUUGGGAGAUCCAGAGAAGAAGAUAUUGAAGAUAUUAAAGAUGGUUACCAUGUUUAUCCACCCCAAGAUGUGAGACAGCGUGGCAACAGUCAAAGGAACUCUUAUUCUGUAAUGAAGAUCAUGGAUCAUAUACGGAACAUUGUACCAAACUCACUGGAGUCCGUGUGAAGAAAGAAGCCUGUACCCCACCUGCCUAGUGCCACCCACUUUUCCUACUCCAAUAGGCACUAUUUCAUAUAUAACUUGUUUGUUCUGCUCACAUUAUGUAUAUAAUUAUACAAAUACAA